GAUGAACGCUGGCGGCGUGCCUAAUACAUGCAAGUCGAGCGAACAGACGAGGAGCUUGCUCCUCUGACGUUAGCGGCGGACGGGUGAGUAACACGUGGAUAACCUACCUAUAAGACUGGGAUAACUUCGGGAAACCGGAGCUAAUACCGGAUAAUAUAUUGAACCGCAUGGUUCAAUAGUGAAAGACGGUUUUGCUGUCACUUAUAGAUGGAUCCGCGCCGCAUUAGCUAGUUGGUAAGGUAACGGCUUACCAAGGCAACGAUGCGUAGCCGACCUGAGAGGGUGAUCGGCCACACUGGAACUGAGACACGGUCCAGACUCCUACGGGAGGCAGCAGUAGGGAAUCUUCCGCAAUGGGCGAAAGCUUGACGGAGCAACGCCGCGUGAGUGAAGAAGGUCUUCGGAUCGUAAAACUCUGUUAUUAGGGAAGAACAAAUGUGUAAGUAACUAUGCACGUCUUGACGGUACCUAAUCAGAAAGCCACGGCUAACUACGU
rnacentral:rRNA from 1 species